GAUGAACGCUGGCGGCGUGCCUAAUACAUGCAAGUCGAGCGAACUGAUUAGAAGCUUGCUUCUAUGACGUUAGCGGCGGACGGGUGAGUAACACGUGGGCAACCUGCCUGUAAGACUGGGAUAACUUCGGGAAACCGAAGCUAAUACCGGAUAGAAUCUUCUCCUUCAUGGGAGAUGAUUGAAAGAUGGUUUCGGCUAUCACUUACAGAUGGGCCCGCGGUGCAUUAGCUAGUUGGUGAGGUAACGGCUCACCAAGGCAACGAUGCAUAGCCGACCUGAGAGGGUGAUCGGCCACACUGGGACUGAGACACGGCCCAGACUCCGACGGGAGGCAGCAGUAGGGAAUCUUCCGCAAUGGACGAAAGUCUGACGGAGCAACGCCGCGUGAGUGAUGAAGGCUUUCGGGUCGUAAAACUCUGUUGUUAGGGAAGAACAAGUACGAGAGUAACUGCUCGUACCUUGACGGUACCUAACCAGAAAGCCACGGCUAACUACGUGCCAGCCGCCGCCGUAAUAC
rnacentral:rRNA from 1 species